CGCUCGCUGGGCCGCGCUCUGGGCGUGCGAUAGCGGGGCGGUGCCGGCCGCUCGCCGCGCCGGCCGGGCCCCGCUGAUAAGGGCGCUUGGCUGGGCCCCCCUGCAGGGUCCAGCCCCGGCUGUCCCCGCGCUGACCCAGGGAAGGGACGUGGCGCAGCCCUCGGUUAUCCCCUGGGCGGUGCCGGAGCCCUGAGGGACGCGGAAACCUGCCCAGAGGCCGCCCCGCCGAGGUGCUGCCCGCGGUUGUUUUGUAAUUCUGCUUAGUAAAAGCACGUUCCUUACAUCAGUCCUUCAUGCAAUGCAAGAAAAAUAUGGAUUUCCAUUGGCUCACAAAUAGAAACAGAAAUUACACACUCCCUUAGGAAGGCAAACUUGAACAACAUCGUAAAAGGAUUUGUAAUAAGAAAUUGAAGUUUAUAAAUACGAAACAGGUAUCCCAAGUCAUAUGCUACUGUCUGGUAUGUCCUGCAGUUUGAAAGGAGGUACUUACUGAUGCACCAAAACAUAGCAAAGCAAAUCAGAGUACACCAGCAGCUAAACUGUGAUCACUUUAUUAAUCACUGCUUGAACAACAACACAAAUUACUAAAAUGAUUUUUGAAUGUGUAGUUAGAUACCUCGUGAGGUGUUUGUCAGUAGGUAAGUAAUGAGGAGAAUUGAGAGGAUUCAGACUAUUUCCUAAUCUACCUGUCCCAGGUCAGGUUUCCAGCAUGGGUGUCUCCCCACACGCUGGAGCCAGAACAAGCAAAACAAUGAAGAAACCUAUAGUGUGACAAAAAACUUAACAUUAUAUAAAUUGCUGCAUACUCAUUUGUUGCAUAUUCAUUUCACGAGAGAAAUUAUUAUAAUGGGAAAAUAAUAUUCUGACUAGGGAAAAUGUAAGGCGUCUGAAAUGUUUAAAGGAUCGACUGGUCACUUCAAGAUAUAUGCAUAAUGAUAUUUCUGUUGCAGCAGAAAAAAAAAGGUAACUUAGAUCUACUACAUGAAAUUUUCAUUUCUUCUGCUGAACAAUGAACUUUACUUAUAUGACACUUUCCCCAUAACAUGAAUAUAACAUGUACUUCACAGCAUUCAUAACCAUUUACAAUUUAUUGCUGUUUGAACUUUUCAGGUGAAAAGUACCAGGUUUGUAUAAAGCAUUAUUUAGUACUUACGGAAUGAAUAUUAAAUUUCUAAACAACUGCUUGAGUUUUAUUUAAAAUUUCAAUACAUGAAACUUUACUAUUAAAAUAAUUACACAGAAAACAGUUUGUAGUUGAAUGUGAAUACACUGUGCCACAGGAAUAGGGAUAUCCUAAACAGUUGGCAUACAGAAAAGUGGCCAGCACUAAUAGGACAUUGAGGAACUACCUUAUACAGAAGUGAAUGACAUCAAACAUUCA